rnacentral:rRNA from 1 species
AUGUUCGAGGAGAUGGCCGCCGAUUCCAGCAUGGGCAUGGGGAUGGGCUUCCACCAGGGGGCCUCCUCCUUGCACCACCACCGCCAUAACAUGCUCUCCUUCCAAUCCAAUCCCGAUUCCGCCCCCGCCCCCGCCCCCGCGCCCCCUGCCCCUCCCGUCUUCCUCCCCUCCCCCAACGCUCCCGUGCUCCAGGGGGCGCCGCCCAAGUACAAGUUCGUCACCGGCUCACCCUCCGACUGGACCCCCUAUGAGCUCUCCAUAUUCCAAGAGGGCCUCGCCAGGUAUGCUCGUGAGCCCACCAUUAUGAAAUACAUCAAGAUUGCUGCUAUGCUGCCCACUAAGACCAUCAGGGACGUCGCGUUAAGAUGCCGAUGGACUGCUGGAAAGGAGAGUAGGAGGAGGAAACCUGAUGAAUUCUAUGCUGGGAAAAGGAUAAGGGACUUGAAGGAGAAAAUGGUUGUUUCUACCUCACUAGCCAAUUUUCAGAUGGCACCUCCAAAUAAUCUAGUCCCCUUCUCGAUGUCGAUGCAUCAUCCAGGUCAGAAUAGCCUGGCUACAAAUGAAGCAGUCCUCGUUUUAGAUAAUGCAACUCAGCAUCUUCUGGAGGAAAAUAACCAGUUACUCAAUCAGAUCUCUGCAAAUAUUGAAACUUUCAAGCUGGGGGAGAACAUGGAUCUCUUUCUACGCACGAAUAACAAUAUUCAAACAAUUUUGAAAAGAAUGAGUGAGACGCCUGGUGUCAUGGGUCAGAUGCGUCCCUUGCCAGAACCUGUAAAUGAAGGCCAACUAAAUUCACUUCUUCAACUGGAUAGAGUGGUUGCCUCUUAUGGCGAUAUACUACAUAACACUCGUAUGAAGGAUGAAGCAUGA